CCGCCACCGAGGUGCGCAUGGACACCUGCCUGCAGAUUUGUUGAUGAGCACGUGUUUCAGUUUCCUGCUUUGCGCAGGCGCUUCUCACCUCCUCCCUUUCCUGUGCACUGUUCUUUCUCAUGAGCAGCGAUACCGCUGCGACCUUGGAGGCCGAGGGAGACAUGCUGCGAGCCACCGGGUGUCGGCUCGUGUGCGGCUUCCUGUACGACAGUCACUGCCAUCUACGCAGGGUGCCGCCGGGCGUUCCAGCGGUGUCCGUGUCACGCCCCGUUGCCAGCGUCAAUUGUGCCGGCAGACAAUGCGACGACGCGCGGUGCGGCGUGGCAGGUUUGGUGCUUUGCGGCACUCACCCCUCCAUCGACUGGGACGCUGUUGCGCAGGCGUCCACGAUGCGUGCGGCGACCUUGAUAGGGUUUGGCGUACACCCCUGGUUUGUGCCAAACAAGGUUGGCGACGAGAAUCCGGCAUCUUCGCUUUUCCGAGAAAACUCGUCAGGUGAGACCUGCUGCUGCCGCAGCCGCAGCAGCGCUGAAGCAAACGCAAAUCGUGCUGCGUGUGGCGCAGCCGCCCAAUCGCUCUCCGACAUUCUCCGUCUCCUGGAGGAGCGUCUGCAGCAGCACCCCUCAGCGAUUGUUGCAGAGAUCGGCCUGGACAAGCUGCGUGGCCCACCCGAGUCUGUGCAAGUGGAGGCCUUUGCCGCCCAGCUGCGUCUCGCGGCGGCCUACCGACGCCCGGUGUCCGUUCACUGCGUUCGCCAUCACGGGCUAUUGCUGCGGGUGCUGCAAGACUUGCCGGCAGAGCACACCCCACCCGCCAUCAUCCUUCACGCUUUCACCGGGUCACUGGAGGUGGCGAAGUCGCUGCUGUCGCUCAAAAGCAAAAAGCGAAGGCCAGCAGCAGACGGCACAGCAGCGCAACGGACGACAAAGCGUGGCGGCACCACCUCCGACACGGUGCGAAUCAAAGACCUCAUCUUCUUCGGGGUCGGCGUGUCAACCAGCUUCGCUGUGAAGAACUUUUCGACUCAGACGCUGCCGUUUCUGCUCGAUGCGCGGCGUGUGCUGCUCGAGACAGACGAGCAUUACAGUGGCAUUGAGGCGCUGGCCGCCGCUUCUGCGGGUGGGUUCCCUGCAGAGGCGGAGGCACAGUCGAGCGUUCGCGGCGGGGCUCGCGCUUGCGUGUGUGUGGACCCUCAGGAGCAUGUGACAAAGCUGUCGGGCGUGAUGGAGCGGAUUCACGCAAGCAUGCUGCAGAACCGCGAGUUUGUCCAAAAGGCAGAGGCCUCGAGCAUGUCCGUGGAGUCGGCCCUUCAAGACACGUUGAUGCACGCCUAUGCGGCGGCAUUCCGCUCGGUCUCGGAGAAGACGGGCCCGUCGUGAAAACCGCCUGGAAGCGAACACUCGAAAGAACGACGGCGUAAAACUCUACGAAGAUCACUGCCUCUCCACAAACUCUUGCUUCCCAACGAAAAGGAGCACGAGCCGCUCACCUGUGCCAGCGCGGCCGGCACGCGUGGGCUCUGACUUGAAACUGGGGUGCUGAACGGUACUG
rnacentral:misc_RNA from 1 species